GUAAAUGAACCAUUUAUCAAAAAAAUGAUUUAUACACUUUCUAAGUGACGAUUCCAAAUCACCACACAUCCACUUUAACGUAGAAGAUUGAUAUCAACUAAAGGCAAUGCCUUGUGUCAAGAAAAAAAAAGCUUGUGCAGCCUAAAUCAUGGCAUGCAUGCUCAAUGAAUGAUCCUUCCGCAGGUUCACCUACGGAAA
rnacentral:misc_RNA from 1 species